GCACAAUGGGCGCAAGCCUGAUGCAGCCCAUGCCGCGUGUAUGUAAGAAGGCCUUCGGGUUGUAAAGGUACUUUCAGCAGUGAGGAAGGUGGGUAUGUUAAUAGCAUAUUCAUUUGACGUUAGCUGCAGAAGAAGCACCGGCUAACUCCGUGCCAGCAGCCGCGGUAAUACGGAGGGUGCGAGCGUUAAUCGGAAUUACUGGGCGUAAAGCGCAUGCAGGUGGUUGUUAAGUCAGAUGUGAAAGCCCGGGGCUCAACCUCGGAAUUGCAUUUGAAACUGGCAAACUAGAGUACUGUAGAGGGGGGUAGAAUUUCAGGUGUAGCGGUGAAAUGCGUAGAGAUCUGAAGGAAUACCGGUGGCGAAGGCGGCCCCCCUGGACAGAUACUGACACUCAGAUGCGAAAGCGUGGGGAGCAAACAGGAUUAGAUACCCCUGGUAG
rnacentral:rRNA from 1 species